UUGUUUAAGUCAUGUGAUUUUGCUGAACACUGAGGAGGAGAGCAGGAGCAAGACGCUUGUGUGGGCUUAAAGGUAGAGAUGAGAAUUGAGUGAACAUCAUCCUGGAGCCCAUGGGUGUCAUGGCAGAGGCAACAGUGCGGAAAGAGGCAACUAUUCCAGGAGGCAGGAGAAUCUUGGCACAACAAUGGCAAUUUCCCAGCAUACUCCUUCAUUUCUGCUGAGCACUGAUUGUUGGAGAACUUUUAAUGAAGUCCAUUAUCAUUUUGGCAGUUCAACAAGACUUCCAGGAGAGAAACAGAGAGCAUGGUUUGGAACAAACACAUCCUUGAGCUGUUUUCUAUUAUUCAUACAGGCUACUCAGAAUUUUUUUUGAAGAAAACUAUAUUAGAGUAAAAAUUAAUUGCUAUAUUAAUACAUCACUCUUAACAGGUGUAACUCUGUGGUGUCUGGAAGCUAAUAAGCUAGCUUUCUGAGUGGCAUAUUUUUUUGGAAUCCCUUAGGUCUCCCCUCAACGCAAAAGAUACACAAAGACAGCUGGAGUCAAUGCUGGAGUGCAAAAGGAGAAGCUUUUUUUGGUCUCUGAGGGCUCAUUUAUCUUCAUAUCCCCAUUGCCUACAUACUACCAAGCACUCUGAAUCAACUUUAAUUGCACUUACUUCCAUUUGUAAUCAUGUUUCUAUUUUUGAUUAUGUGGUUGAUAUCAUGAAGACAAGGAUCACGUGCAUUUUGCUAUGUAUUUGUAUGCCCUCUGCCUCACAAAAUGACUUGCCCAUGGCUGUGCUUCAAUAAAUAGAUGACCACUAACCAUGUAGUGAAUAAAUACA